GGAGAUGGAAGAAGAUGCUUGGUCGGUCCUCUUAAUUCAAAUUUGGGGCACUGCGCGGUCAAGCUAAUGUGCCACCAGAUAGGAGUGGUGUGUUAGUAUUGUUCUGAUCAGUUUAAUACCUUCCGCGUCUCCUAUCAGUGGUCGUGUACACGGCAUUGAUUUUUGUAACAGGGAGAUGGAAGAAGAGGCUUGGUCGGUCCUCU